ensembl:lncRNA
UAUAUAUAUAUAAAUAUAUAUAUAUAUAUAAAUAUAUAUAUACGUAUGUACUCAUAUCUGUAAAGGAAACCGUCAAGAAGACCCUUGAACAUCGACUCCAAACCACAGAUUUUGUACACCAGCCUGCAGCGCUGCCGUGCACUCACACCCCCCACAGACUUCACUUCCCUGCAUUUAUUUGGUUAAAAAAUAAAUCAUGAUAAUGUUGCAUUAGUAAAAAAUACAGUACGUACAGUGUGUGUGUGUGUGUGUAGGUGUGUAUGUGUGUGUGUGUGUGAUUUCUACAUAUACAUGUACAUAUGUUUGUAUAAAGGAAUAAUAGGGAUAAAUAGUUAUAAUCAGAUGUUAUUUGGUUUAAUAUAGGAUAAUAUGAUCAUUAUUUAUGACGUGUCUGCUCAUCAGAUAUUCACUCACAUGAAUUAGUUUAAGGUUUACAGAAACUUUAUUUUCGAGAAGCUUCUCAUUUGACGGUCAAGCGGUUGCUUAUUUUCCAUAAUGGACAAGUUCAAAAAGGAUUUUAGUCAUUCAUUUAAUACAUUAUCACGUGUGAGUACUGUAAGAUAGGUAACUGGUCUAUUUCUAUAUUUUGAUAGAUUGUACUCUCUACUACAUUUUUUUAACUUCUUUUCUUACCAGGAACAAACAAUUGCAGAUUCAGAUUAAAAUACAAAUUGCAAUCUAGAAAUACAUAAUGAUGCAUCAUUAGAUGAAGAUAAAUGUUCACUGAUCCCUGAGCGAAUUUCAGAAGCUAACCAUCAGAAUGAAUUCAUUAGAAUGAGCUCUCUCCACCAGCUGUGAUGUAGACAUUAAUGACAAUUUAGUAUUCAUACUGUAUUAUUAUGCAUGAUGAGUGCUUCCCAUUUUUCUCCUUAAGUGUAUUACAAUGUCAAUGGCUGUUUUUAUAUGUAUGCCUUUAUUUCCCAAUCAAUCUACUGGACACAAACAUACAAUACAAAACAAUUCUAGUCAUUCUAUAGUGUCUCAUUUGUCGUUUUUAUAUACAAAUUUGCUGGAUGCAUGUAUUUGUCUGCCUGCUGUCAUAGACAGAGUGUAACACGUGCGUCAGAAUUCCUGUAAAAAAAAAGGAGAAUGACCUACGUAUUUGAUAGACACGUCCAAAACUACACCUGGAAUGCAGUUUCACGGCAAGAAGUGAAACCAGAGUACUGAUUGGCCACUGGAUGUCACUGGUGUCCUCUUUUUCCCAUUUGGCAUUAGAUGCCAAAGUCCCUGUCUGACUGGUUUGACUGGCACAGUGAUUGUCCAAGUAACAGACUCAAUAAUACUGAAAGAAAUGACCAGACUGGUCAAAGGGAAGCAUAUCAGGGGGUUUGCACUUUCACCAAGUGUAUGUGUGAGACGAGUGCGUAGUCUCAGAGACGGCAAAUGACAGCCUCUUCAUUAAAUCCAGCACCAGCUAAAGGUCAGAUGGCUCCCUUUUCGGCAGGCAGGAGGUGUGUUCACUUGUGUGAAUUCCACACACCCACAGAGAGGAAGGAUUAGACAUCGGCCAUAAGACUGUGACACACAGGACAUUUCUGAGCACCAUGUCACCAUGUGUCCCCCAGUAAAAAAUAAUAUCAAAGUUAGAUGUUUUUCAAGUUCUGUCGGCCCCCAUCGUAAAGAGGGAAAGGUGUUUCUUUUGAGUGUGUGGAUAGAUGCUGCCCAAUACUGCAAUUCAUAGACUGGGAUUUUGCAGAUAAAAACAACGGAACUUUUGAAUUUCUAUAUAAUCUUUUUUAGUUUGUCCACUCAUUUUUUUGGCAGAAACAGGGAACUUUAAAGAGGACGAUGUAGACGUCCGUAUUUGUGAGACACGAUGAUCUAUAAUCUAGCCUUGAUUAUUAUUUAGAUUGGAUAACAGAUUACAAACAAUGCCGACUGUAUGACUGGCUAAAUGCAGCUGAGGCGGCUGUUAUUAAAGCAAUUGGUGAGUAGACGUGUUCAGUGGUAUUAUCACCUCUAUAGAGACAUUUUAAGUCACAGUUUGCCAUUCUUGAUGGGAGACUUUCUAGUUCUUAUCAAUGCUUAAACAUUUUCUCCACGACUAUUCUGAAGAUCACAAAGAAACUAUAAACAAACAAAUGCACAAAUGCCACCCAGCGAGUGAGGGACUUCCAGCCAUCUGUCAGAGCUACGUGUGUGAGAACAGACGACAACCAAACUGAAAGCGAAUGGGUGUGUUGAUCAAAUUAAUUGACCAAUAAUUUCAUUUUUGAUUUGUGUUAUUUUUAUGUUGAUGUGUACGUGGGAGAGAAAGUAAGGCCUGCAGCGUUAUAACCAAGUUUGAAAAUGAAAAGGCGUUCCACAAAAUUUGCAUGUGGAGGAUUAUAGAAUAGGAUGUUAACGAGCAAUCCUGACCUUUUAUUGUUAAAGAUAAAGGUAACCUAGCAACCAACCUACAUCCUCUUUACAUUGACAACGCAUAUUUGUUUUCAGGCGUGUUUAUCAUUUCCCAAAGGCUGCUGGGAUUCCGACGUGGACAGAAAUCAUUUCUGUGUUCUAAACCCCUGUGGUCAAAGGAACACGUAUCAGCGUUGACGGAGCCUCUGUCGGUCUGCUCUGCUGCCUUUGCAGCUCCCGCAUUCUGCUUUCACCCACUUGUUGUUUCGUUUCGUUGUGCGCCUAGUAUGAAUUUAUAUUUUGUCUUGCAAUUUUCCAAUACUCAUAGACACAUUUUCAUCAUUGACAUCACUAAUUCCCAAACUCCACAAAACAUUUUGCAAACCUUUUAAUUUAGUUUAAUUUUUUUUAUAAAUGUAUCUUUUGGUAACACGUGUGUGUGUCAUCUAAAUGUUGUGGCCUAAGAACUGAGUCAUAAAUAUGUUUUCAAUAAUCUUAAGAGACAGUAAUACAAUUUUAGCGGUUUUUAAUAAUUAUCAGAAAAUGAUACAUGUGAGAUUGGGAUGAAUUUGGACUGAGUUUGCUGUAAAGAAAACAGUUAUUUAUAAUCAAACUUCACCAAUAUAUUGGAUUGCUCCUUUCUAACGACCUUCCAUAUUUGAUGCAUCCAGAGUUGUCAUAAAUGUAUUUAUUACCAUAUAUUGUUAAUAGAUUUAUUUACACAAGAUUUCCUUUGUUUUCGUAUAGCUGUGGACAUUCCUAAACCGCCUAAAACUCCUGUCUAUGAAGGUCAAAUGAUUCCUACGGACACCAACAGGGACUGGAAUCAUGUUUGACUUUUAGCUGAGUGUGCAAACACAGUGCUCACUUCAGUUGUUCCUGCAGUGCCCGCACAGGACCAACGUCCAGAUGGGAAGCAAUUUUAGCGGUUGUCUUACUCUUGCGUAUUUUUUACUUUUUGCAUUUCUUAGUUGUAUUAGUUGUGUCCUGUCGCCCAAAGAUCAUUCAUUCAUCACUUUUCAAUCUAAAUAUUUUCUCUUCAUUUUAAAAACAAUAUUUCUACCUGUAGCUCUGUUUCAAAUGCCCUUUUUGAUUACAUUACGUUGGCAAAUAUAUCUGUAUUUGUAUAUUGCCUAUCUAGUCAUUGAAAGCAUUUUUACACAACAUGUCUUUCACUCAUUCACACCCACACCUACACUAUUGGCACCGGCUGCAACGUGCCACCUGCCCAUCAGGACUACACAUUCGCACCCAGCUAUACACCCCAGUCACAGCCUUUGGGAGCUUUCUGAAUACAUUGAACAUUAAUACCCAUUGAAAAUAGUGAAUACUUCAGUCAAUCUUCAAAUAAAUAUGUAAUCUUAGUCAAACUUAGUCAAUCCGUCUCCCUUCUGGAGAUGGCAAUAUAAGACUGGGGUCUCAGCCAGAUGUUCCCCGUUAACCCUUAUUACAAGUGAGCCCAGCUAUAUGUAGUUGAUGCCACUACACCUCCCUUACCAUCUUUGGUUUCUGAAGAGGUGACUUCUGCUGUGGCUUUACCAGAGCCCGGUGCCUUUCUCUGUGAGUGUUGCGCCCACAGAGUGGUGGCUGCAUGCAGAGCUUGCAGGCUGUGCCCCAUACGAGCUCCAUGUGUCAAAGCCAGGCCUAAAGACACUUAAAGGUGCGCUCCCAUCCUAGCUGAGGCUUCUGAAGGGAGGAUGGGUUCUGUUUUCUUGAAAAUGUAUACAGAUGGGUCAGCGAAUCCCUCUUGGUCCUCCUCAUUUGAGUCACACAGGCACACACAUGCAUUAACGUGGUAAUACAAAUUAAAGAUCUAGUCUAAAAAAAGAGUGCUGUAUAAAAUCAGUAUAAGAAGUGUGAUAUGUAAAAUGUAUAUGCAUACAAAACAUUCUAUCAUUAAGCAUAUUGUAUUACAGAGCAAAUGUAUAUCAUUCUAAUACAAGUUUUCUCAAUAUUUCUGCAUAUAAUAUUUCAUUUCAUUUCUUUUUUAUUUUAGUAUUGCUAUUUCUAAUUGUUUUGAUCUUUUUUUUAACUAUGUCUGUGUGUACUUUACCCCCUUUGAUGCUGUGAUCCUGUAAAUGUCCCCGCAGAGGGACUAAUAAAGGAUUAUCUUAUCUUAUAUUAUGUUUCACUAAAGAGUUUUCACUAAAAGUUACAUCCGAACAUAUGAAAUAUUUGCUUUCAAGCUCCAGUGGUAGUUCACACAACAAUUACAAAAAUAUAUCUCAUAGAGGAGAGAUAGGAGGAAAGGUUAGAUGGAGAGAAAGCAAGAAACAGAGAAAAACUGAGCAAAAGGUUGAAUAUUAGGAGUUUGAAUUUAGUGGAUAUGCGGUUGUCAUGUAGCACUCCUCCAACAGAAGGAGAGAGGGAUGAAGAGAAGGAGAGGAAAAAGUAAAUGAUGGAGAUGAAGUUGUCAUCCACCAGCACUCCAGAGAGCACACCAAAAGGAGAGGAACAGACAAACAGACAUGGUAAAUAAAAUGAUGAAAGGAUAAGAAGCAUACAUACAUAACAUUUCUCAAAUUCUUAAUUGAUUAAUCGUAUCAAGCUGCACAAACAUGUAUGUGACUAUUGUGCUUAAUCACUCUUUUCUAUUAUAUGUUUUCUGCCCAACAAACAAGAAUUGACUCUUUAAUUGCUCUUUGACACUUGAAUGAAUGGACGCGUCUUGCACAGAGAGAAAUUAAAAAGGAGAAUCCCUGACCAUCGUGUGCAGAUACUCUGCUACAUUAGUAUGAUGAAUAACGAGGCAUGUGAUAAUUACUUACAAAAGUAGUAAUUAUAUCAUUGGAAAUAACGUGAAUAAAACAAAAGCCUAUCGAGUGUUUAGUUUGAAAUCUUGCCCAAAACACAUCUGCCACAUAAUUGUGUUACAAUUUGUCCUUUUCAAGUCCCUUUGAAUGUGAUAGUCCUACUACUAUUGGCUGUAAAUAUGCAUCUUAUGUAUGUAUGCAUGUGAGAAGUAAAGUAAGUAUCAGAAGUAAAUUUGAAAAUGUAAAAAUAUUAAAGUUAAAUAUUCAAUGCAUGGCCUAUGCGAGCAUUACCCUCAUGUAAAUUGAUAAAUAAAUGAUUAUUAUUAUUGACACCUAAACGUGCAAUCAGCUCUUCGCUGCUCUACCGUUGCUGGUUGAGGUACAGAUUGGUUUAUUUACAAUAAACCAAUUACAAACCUCGAAUUAUGUUCACUAUAGAUUAUUAUAGGCUACUGAUUAUUUGCUCUUAAUUGAUUGAAUGUUUGGUUUAAGAGGAAUUGGAAAAUAGUUCGAAAUCCCAUCAGCGUUAUCCAGAAUCCAAAAUGACCCAUUCAUGCUCGUUAUGUUCAACCCUCAUAUAUAUACAAAUGAAUACUCUUGGCAUUUGGGCAUUAAUCCUGUUAAACAUCAUGGUCCUGUAAAUCAAAAUUUAAAAAUUAAAGGAAUAGUUUGACAUUUUGAGAAAUGCACUUUUUUUUUCUUGUUUUCCUGAGAGUUGAAUAAGAAGAUCAAGACCACUUUAAUGUUGGAAGCAGCAGCCGCUGAGCUUAGCUAAGUAUAGGGGGAAGAAAGAGAUGGAAACAGCUGCGGGGCUCUGUACAAAUUUAAAACCUUCCACCACCUUGACGGGUCGCUAAUGAACACAUCAUAUCUCACAGACAAAAAAAUCACCAUUUAAUAGGAUUUCAUGUGCUGGACUAUUUCCUGCUAAGUAUCAGAAACUACCUGAAGUUGCUGUUGGUUGCCUGGCAACUAGUCCUGGUCCUGCUUGAGAUACGGUCGUGAUUAGUUCUCUUGAGAGGUAUUUUAGUCAGAUUUCUGACCAUUGUUUCCGUUUUCAGAUAUUAUGUUGAGCUAAACUAAGUGGCUUUAUAUGAAUCUGCAUUGACGUUUGCUGCUUGUUGGAGUGGGAAUGUGACCUUGAUGUAACUGUUUUGAGAACACGUUGAACCGAUAAAGGUGUUGUGCUAAAACAAAGGAGAAUUGGUGAAACACAAACUUUCUGUGGCCCCAAUAAACAUCUGAUGAGGAACUUGUUGCACAGCACUCCGUUGAAUUAUCUGCCAGGACUUUGAAGGCCGCCUAAUGUCGACCGGGGCUCUGACCUGAAAAUGGUGCUUCAGGGGAACCAGUUGCAUUCAGGGGUGUGGGAGAUUCGGCAGUCGAGAGUGUGUUCGCCGUUUGUUCUGACAAAUAAUGUUUUCAACAACACCCGUUUGUGGCAGGUUCUGAGAAAAACCUCUGCCCUUCUUCCCAUGCACUUUCACUCCUGCUGGGAGAGCUAACACAGAUACACAUGGGCCCACAAGCUGCACACCAACGCACACACGCUCGCUGGCCAACGCACACUCUUUCUCUGUCAGUCACACACACACACACACAGAUAGAUUCCCUGGAGGCCAGGCAGGGGGUCUGGCUGGGACAUAGAUGGACACAUGCUGGGAUCAGAGCAGCAGUGGGUGAUUCACAUCUAUCUCCAUAUCUCUCUCUCUCUCUCUCUCUCUCUCUCUCUCUCUCUCUCUCUCUCUCUCUCUCUCUCUCUCUCCUCUCCGAUUUCCCUCUUUUAAUAUUUCACUUCCAUCCUUCUCUGCUUGUUGACACCCCCACACACCUCACCCUGCACUGGUUACAGCACAUACACACACACCUCGCAGGCCUUUGAGUUUUUUAAAAUGUAAUUUGCACGCAAACUCAUCCGAAGACUUUACCUGAACCCAAAAUCUGCUCAUUUUAUAUCUCUCAGCCUCUCCUUCAACGGACCAUGUGUUUUCUGUCUUGAUCCUACACCCUCCCUGCCUCCCCCCCAAUCCUUCUGUCCUCAUUUCAUGUAGCUAGCUGGGUACCAAACUCCUCAUUACUCUAAUUUAGAGAGCAUGGCGCUCCCAUAAUGGCUUCAGGGGCCAAAAGAAUAUCAAGUGUUGUUUAAUUUUUGUAUCCUAUUCAGGCUUUACACUCGUGCCAUCCCUCUACCCGCUCUUCUGUCCAUGUUUCCUUCAAUUCUGAUUCCAUUUACUCUUCCUACACAGCUAUUACAGCUACUAAAAGAGGGUUCCAACCUCUCUUUUUUGAGUGGAAGACAGGCAGGACACACAUUUUAAAAGCAUAUCAAAGCACAAUGUCUCUUUCCUGUAUUUCAUAAGGUCUUUUCAAGGCAUCCAACAAGUGUUUACAUGUUUCACUGCUGUUCAUGCUGGAUGUGUAUUAUUUAAUUCUCUUAAAAAUCUUUAUAUGAAUUAGACAAAUCUCCAUGGUUACUGGGGCAGUGGAGAGCAGGUGGAGGGCCCUUGAGGAUGCAUUAGGACCUUCUAGCAAAGAGGAAAUGCGUCUUAGCUGUGAGCUUAACUGUGCAUCAAGCCUGUUUCAAGAGCUUCAUUGGUUCAGCAAAUAACCAUCGUUAGCUUGCUGCACGUCUAAAUAUAAGCUGCAAGGGUAGCAAUCUGGAUGACCAGGUAAUGCACAAUGCAUAUAACCAUUUAAAUACAAUUUUAGAGUGAGUGAAGACAAUACUACUUUGAAAGAAAAACAUAAAAUAUCCAACAAAAUUAUUUAUAUUUUUAAUUUGUUUUAUAAAAACUGUACAGAUACAUAUAAAGCAGUUUCUAAACGACUAAAUUAUUACACAAUUAAACACAAGCCUAUCAUGUUAAGUUGCUUGAGAAAGCGAACAAGCAAAAUAAGCAAAUACAUUUUACGGCAGAAAGAGCUAAAAGUGAAACUAGUACCGUCACUACUUUUCAUCUGUUUUAGGCUUUUCUAUUUAGGCUCAUCAAAUUGAAUUCUAGAGCACAAUUCUUCUUAUAUUUCAGAAACAGAGGAUUGAAUUGAGCUUGAAAUCAGCAGAUUUCACAUGAGGAGGCGAUUUUAAGGGACUGCACGAAGAUACAAGGCCGGCAAAUUAAUAAAGAAACUUUUAAGUUACGUCUGUUCUUAAAAGCUAAUUUCACUGAGACUGCACACCUGAUUGAUUAGUGAAUAAAAAACUGCCAACAACAACCAAACAGAAACAAAAAACAUCAAUACUUACCUCCAUCCGUGUUGGCUGUUUCUUUAAGGGAAAGAGGAGCAACAAAAAAAACACUUAACCUCUCUGCCUACUGUUAAUUGAAUAAAACAUUCACUAGAUUAAAGUAUUACAUUUUGUAACAUUAUGGAAAGCUCAAUACUCAAUUAGGCAGCAUUGACCUCAAAUAAAAACAAACAUGGUUACAAGGCUGGAGUGUGGUAAUGUAUUAUAAUAGACGAGCAACAGUUAGCCAGUUAUAAGGAACCACA